GAUUAUGGCUCAGGAUGAACGCUGGCGGCGUGCUUAACACAUGCAAGUCGAACGAGGAAUCUUUCAACGUUUCGGACAGAGGAAAUUUCCGAGUGGCGGACGGGUGAGUAACGCGUGGGUAACCUGCCGUAUGCAGGGGGACAACAGCCGGAAACAGCUGCUAAUACCGCAUAAGCCGGAGGGGCCGCAUGGUCCAGCCGGAAAAGAUUUUAUCGGCAUACGAUGGACCCGCGUCUGAUUAGCCAGUUGGCGGGGUAACGGCCCACCGAAGCGACGAUCAGUAGCCGAACUGAGAGGUUGACCGGCCACAUUGGGACUGAGACACGGCCCAGACUCCUACGGGAGGCAGCAGGUGGGGAAUAUUGCACAAUGGGGGGAACCCUGAUGCAAGCAACGCCGCGUGAGUGAAGAAGUAUUUCGGUAUGUAAAGCUCUAUCAGCAGGGAAGAGAGUGACGGUACCUGCAUAAGAAGCCCCGGCUAACUACGUGCCAGCCGCCGC
rnacentral:rRNA from 1 species